rnacentral:rRNA from 1 species
AACUCGCCUGCAUGAAGUUGGAAUUGCUAGUAAUGGCAGGUCAGCAUACUGCCGUGAAUACGUUCCCGGGCCUUGUACACACCGCCCGUCACACCAUGAGAGUUGGAGAUACCCGAAGCCUGUGAGCUAACUUUUUAAGAGGCAGCAGUCGAAGGUAGAAUCAAUGAUUGGGGUGAAGUCGUAACAAGGUAUC